UACGAAGGGGGCUAGCGUUGCUCGGAAUUACUGGGCGUAAAGCGCACGUAGGCGGCUUCUUAAGUCGGUGGUGAAAUCCUGGAGCUCAACUCCAGAACUGCCUUCGAAACUGAGAAGCUCGAGUCCGGGAGAGGUGAGUGGAACUGCGAGUGUAGAGGUGAAAUUCGUAGAUAUUCGCAAGAACACCAGUGGCGAAGGCGGCUCACUGGCCCGGUACUGACGCUGAGGUGCGAAAGCGUGGGGAGCAAACAGG
rnacentral:rRNA from 1 species